UACGUAGGGCGCAAGCGUUGUCCGGAAUUAUUGGGCGUAAAGAGCUCGUAGGCGGUCUGUUGCGUCGGGUGUGAAAGCCCCGGGCUCAACCUGGGAAUGCCAUUCGAGACUGCAUAGCUAGGGUGCGGAAGAGGGAAGCGGAAUUUCCGGUGUAGCGGUGAAAUGCGUAGAUAUCGGAAGGAACACCAGUGGCGAAAGCGGCUUCCUGGUCCAGCACCGACGUUCAGGCACGAAAGCGUGGGGAGCAAACAGG
rnacentral:rRNA from 1 species